rnacentral:rRNA from 1 species
GAUGAACGCUGGCGGCGUGCCUAAUACACGCAAGUCGAGCGAACGGACGAGAAGCUUGCUUCUCUGAUGUUAGCGGCGGACGGGUGAGUAACACGUGGAUAACCUACCUAUAAGACUGGGAUAACUUCGGGAAACCGGAGCUAAUACCGGAUAAUAUUUUGAACCGCAUGGUUCAAAAGUGAAAGACGGUCUUGCUGUCACUUAUAGAUGGGUCCGCGCUGCAUUAGCUAGUUGGUAAGGUAACGGCUUGCCAAGGCAACGAUGCAUAGCCGACCUGAGAGGGUGAUCGGCCACACUGGAACUGAGACACGGUCCAGACUCCUACGGGAGGCAGCAGUAGGGAAUCUUCCGCAAUGGGCGAAAGCCUGACGGAGCAACGCCGCGUGAGUGAUGAAGGUCUUCGGAUCGUAAAACUCUGUUAUUAGGGAAGAACAUAUGUGUAAGUAACUGUGCACAUCUUGACGGUACCUAAUCAGAAAGCCACGGCUAACUACGUG